rnacentral:tRNA from 1 species
AGACAAGUCUCUAUUGGUAGAGAAAGUUAGCCGAUAACUAACUUUUAACUAGUUCAAGUCUAGUCUUGUCUU